UACGUAGGGUGCAAGCGUUGUCCGGAAUUAUUGGGCGUAAAGAGCUCGUAGGCGGCUUGUCGCGUCGGCUGUGAAAACCUGGGGCUCAACCCCGGGCCUGCAGCCGAUACGGGCAAGCUAGAAUUCGGUAGGGGAGUCUGGAAUUCCUGGUGUAGCGGUGAAAUGACGCAGAUAUCAGGAGGAACACCGGUGGCGAAGGCGGGACUCUGGGCCGAUACUGACGCUGAGGAGCGAAAGCGUGGGGAGCAAACAGG
rnacentral:rRNA from 1 species